CGGCAAGCCAAGGGGUGCCCUAUAAUGUGGGCUGAGAUCAUACCCUCUGACCUGAUCCGGAUAAUGCCGGCGUAGGGAGGCUGACAUGAAAAGU
rnacentral:ncRNA from 2 species